rnacentral:lncRNA from 1 species
GCGCCACACUAGCACUGCAUAAGCAUGCUCGGGUAUCUACCUCUACCCGUCCCCUCGGUCCCUACUAUGCAAUAUACAAAUGGUAGCAGCUGACCAUAUGAAAAAUGCAUGCUAUGCAUCAACUUGAGAUUAUGUAAAAGCAUAUGCUUGCUUUAACUAACCCAUACCUACCAUGACGUCGUCAGCAGCAGCAGGUUCCACCACUCGGGUCGCGUAUCCAUGGCCACUUGGCACUCGCCGCGAACCCUCCAGUUGCAUCGUCCUCAACGGCCGCUCUCCCGACCAUGCCGCAGGUGGCACACCUGCAGGCUGUCCCAGAGAGGAAUACGCCGUCGCCAGCAUCAGGGCCCGGCCGUCACCCUGCGGGCACUCGUCCCGCGUAUGACCCGGCAGCCCACACUUAAAGCACUUGCCCUCACGCUGCUCACACUGUUGUGGGAAAUGAGGGCCUCCACAGAUAACACAUCUCGCCGAGGACCGAAUGUGGUAUGUCCCCGGAGCUCGAGAUCGGGAGCGCGAACUCGUCGAAGUCCG